UGGGAAACUGUUUCUGCCUUGAUGAU
rnacentral:piRNA from 1 species